rnacentral:rRNA from 1 species
AGAAUGUUAUCACGGGAGACACACGGCGGGUGCUAACGUCCGUCGUGAAGAGGGAAACAACCCAGACCGCCAGCUAAGGUCCCAAAGUCAUGGUUAAGUGGGAAACGAUGUGGGAAGGCCCAGACAGCCAGGAUGUUGGCUUAGAAGCAGCCAUCAUUUAAAGAAAGCGUAAUAGCUCACUGGUCGAGUCGGCCUGCGCGGAAGAUGUAACGGGGCUAAACCAUGCACCGAAGCUGCGGCAGCGACRCUGUGUGUUGUUGGGUAGGGGAGCGUUCUGUAAGCCUGYGAAGGUGGCCUGUGAGGGUUGCUGGAGGUAUCAGAAGUGCGAAUGCUGACAUAAGUAACGAUAAAGCGGGUGAAAAGCCCGCUCGCCGGAAGACCAAGGGUUCCUGUCCAACGUUAAUCGGGGCAGGGUGAGUCGACCCCUAAGGCGAGGCCGAAAGGCGUAGUCGAUGGGAAACGGGUUAAUAUUCCCGUACUUGGUGUUACUGCGAAGGGGGGACGGAGAAGGCUAUGUUGGCCGGGCGACGGUUGU